CACCAAAUCCUGAAAUAUUUUCAUGAUGGUCUUUAAUUGCAAAGCAAGCAGGUGACACACAUUUCUCACUGGGGAGCCAUAAGCUGACCCUGGCAGUUUGGCCAACAGCACUUGCUCCAUUCACACCGGUAAUCUCAACCCUUUGCUGUCCAGGCUGCACACACAGCUUCUCUACAUCUUGCUGUGUUUUGAAAUCUGUGCUCCCCUACCUAUUAGAAACAUCACCAAUUGUCUCUGAGGACAGAUUGGGAUCAAAAUACGUGGGCAUAUACAUACGUACGUCAUAGCUCAUCCACUGAUAAACCUCCCAUUGCUGGACAGGCAGACCCAAUUACCUGCCAGUCAUUACUUUUUAUUUAUUUAUUUUUCGUUCUUCAUACAGGAACUGUGAGGUCACAGUCUGAAGUAGUGAUUAAGCACCUGGUGAGGGGUGUAGCCCUGCGAGCACAGGUGGAAGCAAUUCUCCUAUGGGACCAGAUAGGGCUGAGCCUGGCUCCACCCCUCCCUGAUCGCAUUUAAGGGCUGGCAGCCAUAGAGGUAGCAUCUCUUUGUGGAGACUGCCUUCUUGGAAGCCUUGGGUGAGCCUUUGGAGUAUGGUAAGUGAUUCCUUCUAUGUUUCAAGGCUGUGGGCUUCUCUUUUUGUUAGAUCUUGCCCAUAUAGCCGUCAGCCCUUCAGCGUGGUCAGGAUCUGUAUCUGCAGGCUGUCUCUUUUGGGGUGUGGGAUGUGUUUCCUUCUUUAUUGCAGGGCCAUUAUCUCUCCUUUUUGGGGUAUCCUGAUCACUUUUAAGGGUUGGCAGCUGUAAGGGUAGUAGGGAGUGCUUCCUUUGGAGUGUGGGGUGAGCCCUUGGAGUGGGAUGGGUGGUUCCUUUUUUAUUUCAGGGCUGUGAUCCCUCCAUUUUUUGGGGGAUCCCGACAGCAUUUAAAGGUUUGUAGCUGUAAGGGUGUUUUCUUUUCCUGGAGGCUGCCUCUUUGGGUGUGUGGGGUGAAUAUUUCCUUUGUUAUUUUGAUGUGAGCUCUGUGUUUUUUGGGGGAUCCUGACCACGUUUAAGGGCUGGUAGCUGUAAGGGUAGGGUCUCUGUCUAGAGAUUGCUUCCUUUAGAGUGUGGGGUGAGUGUUUGUCUUUGGAAUGGGGCAGUUGAUUUCCUCUUUGUUGUAGGGUUAUGAACUCCCCAUUUUUUAGAGGAUCCUGACCACGUUUAAGGGCUGGCAGCUGUAAAGGCAUCAUCUGUACCUGGAGACUGCUUCCUUUGGGAUGUGGAGCAAGCACUUGGAGUGGGCUCGAUGGGGUUUAAGGAUUGCCAGGGCUCCUCUAAUCAGUGGUGUGAGAACUGCAGAGCAGGGUCUUCUCCUGACUGCUUCAACUUCGGAAAUACCAUUGAGAGUGGCUCAGUGACUGCAGUGGUGAAUUCCCUCAGAACUCUGGGACUCAUCUCGUCAGGACCCAAAGACUCCUGGAUGUUCGGGCCCUCAGGUGGCAGCAGAGCUGUGGUGCUCCCGAGUGCUGUAACGACUGCACAGAGAUGUGUGGGUCUUCAUGGGAACAGCAAGGAACUGGAAUCUGCAUCUCUUCGAAUGCCUCAGAACCUCGCUUUGCUGGCUGGUAAUUGUCUGCCCAGCAGGUGGCAGCAGAGCUGCGGUGCUCCUGAGUACCGUAACGACUGCAUGGAGAUGUGUGGGUCUUCACGGGAACAGCAAGGAACUGGAAUCUGCAUCUCUUCAAAUGCCCCGGAACCUCGCUUUGCUGGCUGGUAAUUGUCUGCCCAGCAGGUGGCAGCAGAGCUGCGGUGCUCCUGAGCGCUUUAAGGACAGCAUGGAGAUGCAUGGCUCUUCACAGUGACAGCAAGGAACUGGAAUCUGCAUCUCUUCAAAUGCCCCGGAACCCCGCUUUGCUGGCUGGUAAUUGUCUGCCCAGCAGGUAAGGGCAAUGCACACCCACCAGUGUUUACUCAUUACUUAAUGAGGCACAAGGUAGGGUUCCCAGAGCUCAUUUAUGUACUUCAUGGUGCCCAGAAGGCUGCCUGUCCUGUUCUUUCUGUGUUCUCCUUGCCUCCGGUCUUUCACUGAAGCAUUCUCCUUGCCCUUGGCUUUUCUUGCUGUGUUCUCUUGCCCUCCUGUUUUGGCGUUCCCUGUGGCAUUCUCUUGGCCAUUUGCCCUCGGCCACCUUCGCUGCGUUCUCUUUGGCCUUCGGUUCUGGCCAUCUGUGCCACAUUCUCUUGGCCUUUGUCCUUGACCUUCUUUGCCACAUUCACUUUGCCUCCCAUUCUGGCAUUCCCUACAACAUUCUCUUUGGCCUUCAGUUCUGGCGUUCGUGGCUGCGUUCUCUUUGGCCAUUGCUGUCGGCCUUCUUUGCCCCAUUGUCUUUGGUCUUCAG